rnacentral:rRNA from 1 species
AUACGGAGGAUGCGAGCGUUGUCCGGAAUUACUGGGCGUAAAGGGCGCGUAGGCGGCGCUUCAAGUCGUCUGUCAAAUGGGAGGGCUUAACCCUUUUUCGCAGACGAAACUGGAGAGCUUGAGAAGCAGAGAGGCAAACAGAAUUCCUGGUGUAGCGGUGAAAUGCGUAGAUAUCAGGAAGAAUACCAGUGGCGAAGGCGGUUUGCUGGCUGCAUACUGACGCUGAAGCGCGAAAGCCAGGGGAGCAAACGGGAUUAGAUACCCCGGUAGUCCUGGCAGUAAACGAUGUAUGCUGGGUGUGAGACUAGCGAUAGUUUCGUGCCGAAGUUAACGCGAUAAGCAUACCGCCUGGGGAGUACGGUCGCAAGAUUGAAACUCAAAGGAAUUGACGGGG